AUGGUGCCGCUGAUGCAAAAGGUUUUUGUACGGCGGCUCAAUGAGUUUGUAUCACUGUGGUACACAUUCGGUGGAGGAACCAGACUGGAUGUUGGAAGUGAUGUCCGUCCCACCCUGACGGUGCUGCCCCCCUCCAGCGAGGAGCUGCAGCAGGGGAAGGCCACGCUCAUAUGUCUGGCCAACAAGGGCUUCCCCUCAGACUGGAGUCUGGCCUGGAAGGUGGACGGCAGCAGCAGCAGCAGCAGCAGCGGGGAGGAGAGCAGGAGCCCCGGGGUGCUGCAGAAGGACGGCCGCUACAGCUGGAGCAGCACCCUGAGGCUCCCUGCAGACCAGUGGAGGAAGGUGGGCUCUGUGACCUGUGAGGCCACCCAGGGCUCCCAGACUCCAGUCUCAGAGACACUGAGGAGAGACCAGUGUUCCCAGUCCUGACCUGACUCACUGGGACUCUGCUACUGGUUUUACUCUGCUACUGCUCUCACUCUGAUCUCUAAUCAGAACAGUGUAACAUUGUGUAACUUCAAACUGUAACAACUGCAUUACUGUAGUACUGAUGACUUAGAUGCUUGAAACAAUAAACAUUUUCUCUCUUGAAAUCAAA